UUACCUGCUUGUGAAAUGCAGUUGGAGUAGACAUACUUAGCAGCUGAAAUCUAAAAUGGGUAAAUUUCAAGUCUCCACUGAGAAAUUUCCAGCCAGUAUCCAGUAUCACAAAACUUGAAGCAGCCUGGAUUGCAGUGCUUCUGGGAAGGGUCAUUCUGGGACCGCCUCGCCUACCGGGGCAGCUCGAUGGAAGCUUGGUACUGAACUGCUACUCACAGAGCACAGCCACUGAAGAGAACACUAGAGAAAAGAGACAACUCUCAAUAGGACAUAUCACUUAAAGUCUUAGGAGUGUGCCAUUAAGAACAUCAUUCGCUUUUUCAGAGAUUGGAUGUUUAAUUCAAGACACGUCCCUCACAGUCGCUGCCUUAGUCAGAAGCCUGCAGGGUCCUAAAGGCAGAAGCUGAAGAUUGACUGGCCAACCGCUUGGACCUUCUGGUCUGCGAAGAUCCUUGUGGCAGCUGCGACACAGCUGAGGGCCUCUAAAAAAGCUGAUUUACUCCAGGGAUUAUUCUUCAGUUAGGGAGUCUGGUGCUAUGUAUUAAGAACCCUUCAAAACACAGUCACCGUUACAUCUAGGAUUUGAUCAACUAACCCUGUGAAAAUACAGAAUCAGCUGUGUUUAUCCCACUUAGCAUAUUCAGUCAAAAAUCUCUGAUCAGUGAAUAUAUAUUAGUCAAUUAAACUUGAUCUAAAAUAAUA